GCUGGCAGUAAUUCUUAUAAAGGUAAACAAGUUUCAAGCAGCUAAGUAAGCGAUUGAAGGUUCUGGAAGAAGAAACUGAAACUAUGAAGCAAUAAUUUUUCUAGCACAUGGAAGAAAGAAAAAAACUGGUGGCUGAAAUAUACCAACACUUUCAGACAAGACACUAUUGUCUCCAAUAUGAAAUCAAAUAGUACAUGAAAAGAGACCACCUCGUGAUGGAUCUUCGAUUGUCAGAUUUCUUAAGGGUUAUCUUGGCAGAAGUUCUAUGCCGAAAAUAAAGUUCAUGCAUUGUCUGAAGAGGACACGAAACGAAUAAGAAAGCUGCUGAUACAAUGCAUUCUUU